UAGAUGUUCUGGAAUUUCUGC
rnacentral:piRNA from 1 species